GACGAACGCUGGCGGCGUGCUUAACACAUGCAAGUCGAACGGUAAGGCCCUUCGGGGUACACGAGUGGCGAACGGGUGAGUAACACGUGGGUGAUCUGCCCUGCACUUCGGGAUAAGCCCGGGAAACUGGGGCUAAUACCGGAUAGGACCACUGCCUGCAUGGGUGGUGGGGGAAAGCUUUUGCGGUGUGGGAUGGGCCCGCGACCUAUCAGCUUGUUGGUGGGGUGAUGGCCUACCAAGGCGACGACGGGUAGCCGGCCUGAGAGGGUGACCGGCCACACUGGGACUGAGAUACGGCCCAGACUCCUACGGGAGGCAGCAGUGGGGAAUAUUGCACAAUGGGCGCAAGCCUGAUGCAGCGACGCCGCGUGAGGGAUGACGGCCUUCGGGUUGUAAACCUCUUUCAGCACCGACGAAGCGCAAGUGACGGUAGGUGCAGAAGAAGGACCGGCCAACUACGUGCCAGCCGCCGCAGUAA
rnacentral:rRNA from 1 species